rnacentral:rRNA from 1 species
CCAGACUCCUACGGGAGGCAGCAGUGGGGAAUAUUGGGCAAUGGGCGCAAGCCUGACCCAGCAACGCCGCGUGAAGGAAGAAGGCUUUCGGGUUGUAAACUUCUUUUAUCAGGGACGAAACAAAUGACGGUACCUGAUGAAUAAGCCACGGCUAACUACGUGCCAGCAGCCGCGGUAAUACGUAGGUGGCAAGCGUUAUCCGGAUUUACUGGGUGUAAAGGGCGUGUAGGCGGACUUGCAAGUCAGAUGUGAAAUUCCAGGGCUCAACCCUGGAACUGCAUUUGAAACUGUUGGUCUUGAGUAUCGGAGAGGCAGGCGGAAUUCCUAGUGUAGCGGUGAAAUGCGUAGAUAUUAGGAGGAACACCAGUGGCGAAGGCGGCCUGCUGGACGACAACUGACGGUGAGGCGCGAAAGCGUGGGGAGCAAACAGGAUUAGAUACCCGCGUAC